rnacentral:snRNA from 1 species
UAAUGUGCUUCAUUCAUGUACUAAUAUUGGAAUGAUACAGAGAUUAACAUGAUCCCUGUGCAAAGAUGACAAAUUUAUGAAGCAUUUCAUGUUUUG